GUGAAUGCUAGAGGUAUGCUUAACACAUGCGAGUCGAACGAAACAAUUUAUUUUGUUUAGUGGCGUACGGGUGAGUAAUGUAGAAGAACUUAAAUGCUAAGACCGGGACAAGAGAUCUUUCUGUAUAAAUACCGGAUAUAAAAGAUUUAUCGCUUAGUUGAAGGCUCCUACAGGAUUAGGUAGUUGGUGGUGUAAUGGACUACCAAGCCUAUGAUCCUUAGUUGGUCUGAGAGGAUGAUCAGCCACACUGGGACUGAAACAAGGCCCAGACUUCCAUGGAGGGCAGCAGUGAGGAAUAUUGGACAAUGGGCGUCAGCUUGAUCCAGCAAUACCUACUGAGUGAAGAAGGGAACUCUGUAAAACUUAGGGAACAAAGAAGAUUAUGACUUUAUUUAGUUUUUAGCCCUGGCUAACUUCGU
rnacentral:rRNA from 1 species